UACAGAGGGGGCAAGCGUUGUUCGGAAUUACUGGGCGUAAAGGGCGCGUAGGCGGCCCGCUAAGUCGAACGUGAAAUCCCUGGGCUCAACCCAGGAACUGCGUCCGAUACUGGCAGGCUUGAAUCCGGGAGAGGGAUGCGGAAUUCCAGGUGUAGCGGUGAAAUGCGUAGAUAUCUGGAGGAACACCGGUGGCGAAGGCGGCAUCCUGGACCGGUAUUGACGCUGAGGCGCGAAAGCGUGGGGAGCAAACAGG
rnacentral:rRNA from 1 species